rnacentral:lncRNA from 1 species
CUAAGCAAAAUCAGAUCACCUUAACCAAAUCAAAUCCCAAGAAAAAUCAUAAGUAUAGUAGAUGCUUUGACAAUUUAUCCAAAACAAUGACUUUUCCAGUUCCAUUCUUUCUCCUUUCCCAUUCUUUUUUUUUACUCUUUUUUCUUUUUUUCAUUUUCUUUUGUUUUCUUGCGGGGGAGUGGAACCGGUUCUCGUCUCACAAACUGCAUCAACAAAACUCAAUCAUGAUAGCUCAGCACAUGCUCAUAAAUAUAAAAAUAUAACCACAAGAACUCAAUAUCAAUCAUCCCAACAACUACAACUACAAUCCUAAUUAAAGGAAAGCUAU